rnacentral:misc_RNA from 1 species
AUGGAUGGAAAGAAGUGACACCUGUCCUGUUUGUGACAAGGUUUGCCUCCUAAAAUUAAUUCAUUGAUCAGGUGAUCAGAUAAGGUCUUUCGUUAGCAUGCAUGGUAAUGACAUUUCUGAUUUCUCAUGGUGCAGGAAAUGAUAAUUGAACCUCCUAUUGAUUUGUAGUUAUGCAGAAAUUUCAACCAUGGUCAACAUCUUUGCUGUUUGAAUUAAAUUGGGAAGCAAAAUUUACAAUGCACAAAAGUUUUAUUUUCUUUUGCAUCCACUGUUAAGUGGUUGCCACAGAUUUGGCUGCAACUUCCUUUUACUUUUUGAAGAGUCAGUACCCUUUUCAGUGCAUAUGCAUAUCGCCUUUGUGCUUUAAGUCCUGCAUAUAUAUAAAAUCAUAAAAAUGAAU